UCCCUGGUGGCUCAGAGGUUAAAGCAUCUGCCUCUAAUGUGGAAGACCCGGGUUCGAUCCCUGGGUUGGGAA
rnacentral:tRNA from 1 species